ensembl:lncRNA
UACCUUAGCAACUGCCUAGCAACCGCCUAGCAACCACCCAGGUUACCAUAGCAACAUCCUAGCAACCACCCAGAACACCCUAGCAACCGCCUACCAACAUCUUAGCAACCUCCCCAAACACCUUAGCAACUGCCUAGCAACCACCUAGCAACCACCCAGAACACCCUAGCAACCGCAUAGCAACCACCCAGGUUACCAUAGCAACUGCCUAGCAACCACCCAAAAGACCCUAGCAACCGCCUAGCAACACCUUAGCAACCACCCCAAGUACCUUAGCAACUGCCUAGCAACCGCCUAGCAACCACCCAGAACACCCUAGCAACCGCCUAGCAACC